CCCAAAGCCUCUUGGGGCUCAGGUGGUCCCCAAGAAAGUGUAAGGAGGUCUACUGGCCUCUUCAGUUCCACAAACAACUGAGAUGGGAAGCAGAUAUAUGUGUUAGACGGGAUGACAGAGAACCACCACUCCACAUCUUCGCCAGCACAGCCUGAGCCUAAAUCCCCAGUUCAGGACCCCAGGAAGAAUACUGAACUGAUAGGAAAUCUUUUUAAAUAUAUAUAUAUAAUUGAUUUUUUACAGAGAGGAAGGGAGAGGGAUAAAGAGCUAGAAACAUCGAUGAGAGAGAAGCAUCGACCAGCUGCCUCCUGCACACCCCCCACUGGGGAUGUGCCUGCAACCAAGGUACAUGCCCUUGACUGGAAUCGAACCCGGGACCCUUCAGUCCCCAGGCUGAUGCUCUAUCCAGUGAGCCAAACCGGCUAGGGCCUGAUAGGAAAUUUUUAUUUUAUUUCUUAGAAGCCAAAAAACCUGAAACACCAUAUAUUACAUACAAGUGCAAGUCACAAAGUAGGCACUCAAACGCACAUUUGUGGUUAUAUUAGGGACAAAAGUCACCCACCCACCUCAUGUACCCCAUUGAUCCCUAACAAGAUACAGAGGUUCUGAGCUCUAGAAUCCUAUCUGCCCCAUCCCCUCCUCCACUCACAAGAAUCCUUAGCACCCCUCCCCAUCACCCUCUGGUCCCCAGUCCCUGACCCCAAAGUCCUAGGGGUGGGGAACAGUGAGGGUGGGUCUCCCUUCUUCAAUUCCUUCUAUUGUUCCCCUGAAGUCUUAUCUGGGCUGUACGUCCUGUCUCCCCCUUGAGGCCCCUCCCCCCAUUGUCAGCCAGAGGGACCUCGGCCCCACUGGGAGGCUCCAGCUCCUCCUCACCACCCCCACCUUAGCAGUCCAUUGUCUGCUGAGGAAGCCCAAGUACACGUGACCAGGCCCAGGGGACAAAGGGACAGUGGCACACCAAUGACCAAGGACCCAGGACAGGGAAUCUGGACAUGGGUCUCUGCACGUUUAGCUUUCUCUGUCCCCGGAGCUGUUCCAGAAGUUGGGAGGGGUGAAGACCCCUUUGGCCUCUACAAUCUUGGAUCUAUGGCUUGAAGAGAAAUCCAUUCCUGUUCAGUGUGGAUAUGCCUUAUGACUUCCCAGACAGCAAAAAUAAGAAGACCCAGAGACUGAAGGGGCCGUGGUCUCCAGCAUCCUCUCCACCUUCCCAUUCUACCCCAGCUGAACAUGGAGGUCUCAGAAGGAAAGAGCUUCCUCAUCCCUCUGCAAAGCAGAACUGGAAAUUACUCUUUGUCAAGCAGGAAGUCACCUGUAGGCUCUUGACCACUCCUAUUUUAACCUACGGUCAUCAAGGUUUUCCUCUCCCAUAAGUCUGGAAUGGAGUAACACUCCCAGCUCCGGGAAGAAGCUCUGAGGCUCUCAAGAAAGCCCAGGGAACAGAAAAGAGAAGUCAGGAGGGGAAAGCCCACACAGAUGGAGGUUUUCCUUGCCACCUCCCUCAGAUCACAUGGAUGAGAGUAUUCCCUAUGUUCCCCAUCUCCCCGCUGGCUCCACAUUUCCAAGCAAUCCAGCCCCCCUUGCUGGGGAGCCUUCCUUGAGAGCCACCCCAGUGUCUUCUACAGGAAUCUGUCGGGAAUGCAACUAAGUGGCAGCAGCCCCUGCAAUCAAGUUCCCACUAUCGCCUUUUAAACCAGCACGCCAAGUGCAAGUCUGCCAGCCACUGGUCUGUAUGGGGGGGGGGGGGGGCACGCAGGGGCUCCACUGGAGGAGUGUGAUGUGCCCCCCAGUCUUGCCAUGCUCAGCUUCAGAGCUGUCCCUACACCACCUCCCAAUGCAGCUCAAACAGAAAGAGGGGCCACUGGUGUGACCUCAAUUCCUUGACUGGUCCCAAGGGGAGCAGCUCUCCAUCUGUGCCACCAUCCUAGUUCCUCCAAGGCCAGAAGGGAACAGCUCCCUCAGUUCACGCUGUCUACCCAGGCGCGCGCCCCCCCCCUCCCCCCAAUCGGAGGGAACCCAGGACCUAGGCGAUCUGGCUCCAAGUCCUGCUGGCACAGGACAGGGAGGCGGGGCCGCCGGCAGCGCGGGUCCCGGUGCCUCCGGGGCAGCCCGGGCCGGGCGGCCGGUCCCUCCCUGCGGCCCGCACUGGGGGCGGGGCGCCGCGAAGGACAGGUCCCCGGGGGCGCCCCGGAGGCUGCGCCCCCUCCCCCGCGACCUCCCGCCAGACGCGACCCGGAACCAGCUCCCCGCGUCCCCGCUCGCGGAGCCCCUCCAGUGGGUGUGGGUGCUCGUCUGCCCGACCGCGGCCCCCAGAACCCCCAAAUGGAGGCCAAGGCUGGAGGAUGACAGAAGGAGGAACUCCGGGCGUGAGGGGGUCCCCGGCGCCGCGCGCGGGGCAGGAGGCGGAGGAGGGGGCGCAGGGGCCGCGGGAGAGCGCGCGGGGGGCGAGCGGGGCCCGGGGGGCGCGCGGUGGGUGUGGGGGCGCCGGG